CUCUGUUCAGAAGAAGAUACCAAAUCCCUCGCAUGGUUUAGCACAGCCCGAGCGCCAGCUCCCCGGAGCGACGCGUCCCCCUCCUCUGCAAAGCCAGGCGCGGCGGCGGCCACGGUCAAGAGCGACUGCACGCCCCUCAGAUUCCACCAGGUGCGGCGACGGCCCCUCCUCUCCUCCUCUUCCUUGCCGCCCGGAGUUAAACGCGAAGCCGCUGCGGGUCGGCAGCACAUAGCCGCCCCUCCCUCGGUUCUCCUCGCGGCCAGCUCUUCCCGCCAAUGCUUCGCCGCCGCCCCUUUCCCCGAUACGGCUUCUCCUUUCCGCUUCCUCUCCACACGACGGCGUCGUCCGACACCUCCUCUCCCCGCUGUGGGGUCGCCUCUUUCCCUCCCUGCGCUGCACAAGCGAGGAGGCGUCGUUGCCCUGAAGUGCUACAGCCGGCUCGGCACAUGAUCCCAUGAUUGAGCGCAUCAUCACUCAGGUUUCAGGAGAAGGUUGUGAUGACUGCUGACAACAACAGAACUUAUGAAGGUCAACUCAAGAGUGCUACGGGGAUACGGGGCAGGCUGGGACGCACAAAAAUUGGGAAGAUGUGUUUUUAGGAUGGUGUCUUAUAUGCUGGCGAAAUUAAUUUUCGCUGGAAAGUAAUGGUCAUCGAUUGAUGCCGAAAGAAACUAUCGUCAAUUGUGGCGAUAAUUGAAAGUUAACUGGAUUUUUUUA